rnacentral:rRNA from 1 species
GAUGAACGCUGGCGGCGUGCCUAAUACAUGCAAGUCGAGCGAACAGACGAGGAGCUUGCUCCUCUGACGUUAGCGGCGGACGGGUGAGUAACACGUGGAUAACCUACCUAUAAGACUGGGAUAACUUCGGGAAACCGGAGCUAAUACCGGAUAAUAUAUUGAACCGCAUGGUUCAAUAGUGAAAGACGGUUUUGCUGUCACUUAUAGAUGGAUCCGCGCCGCAUUAGCUAGUUGGUAAGGUAACAGCUUACCAAGGCAACGAUGCGUAGCCGACCUGAGAGGGUGAUCGGCCACACUGGAUCUGAGACAAGGUCCAGACUCCUACGGGAGGCAGCAGUAGGGAAUCUUCCGCAAUGGGCGAAAGCCUGACGGAGCAACGCGGCGUGAGUGAUGAAGGUCUGCGGAUCGUAAAGCUCUGUUAUUAGGGAAGAACAAAUGUGUAAGUAACUAUGCACGUCUUGACGGUACCUAAUCAGAAAGCCACGGCUAACUACGUG